rnacentral:rRNA from 1 species
AUUGAACGCUGGCGGCAGGCUUAACACAUGCAAGUCGAGCGGGGUGAUGGUGCUUGCACUAUCACUUAGCGGCGGACGGGUGAGUAAUGCUUAGGAAUCUGCCUAUUAGUGGGGGACAACAUCUCGAAAGGGAUGCUAAUACCGCAUACGUCCUACGGGAGAAAGCAGGGGAUCACUUGUGACCUUGCGCUAAUAGAUGAGCCUAAGUCGGAUUAGCUAGUUGGUGGGGUAAAGGCCUACCAAGGCGACGAUCUGUAGCGGGUCUGAGAGGAUGAUCCGCCACACUGGGACUGAGACACGGCCCAGACUCCUACGGGAGGCAGCAGUGGGGAAUAUUGGACAAUGGGGGGAACCCUGAGCCAGCCAUGCCGCGUGUGUGGAGAAGGCCUUAUGGUUGUAAAGCACUUUAAGCGAGGAGGAGGCUCUUUUGGUUAAUACCCAGAAUGAGUGGACGUUACUCGCAGGAUAAGCACCGGCUAACUCUGUGCCAGCCGCCGCAGUAA